rnacentral:rRNA from 1 species
GGGUUGUGAGGUUAAGCGACUAAGCGUACACGGUGGAUGCCCUGGCAGUCAGAGGCGAUGAAGGACGUGCUAAUCUGCGAUAAGCGUCGGUAAGGUGAUAUGAACCGUUAUAACCGGCGAUUUCCGAAUGGGGAAACCCAGUGUGUUUCGACACACUAUCAUUAACUGAAUCCAUAGGUUAAUGAGGCGAACCGGGGGAACUGAAACAUCUAAGUACCCCGAGGAAAAGAAAUCAACCGAGAUUCCCCCAGUAGCGGCGAGCGAACGGGGAGCAGCCCAGAGCCUGAAUCAGUGUGUGUGUUAGUGGAAGCGUCUGGAAAGGCGCGCGAUACAGGGUGACAGCCCCGUACACAAAAAUGCACAUGCUGUGAGCUCGAUGAGUAGGGCGGGACACGUGGUAUCCUGUCUGAAUAUGGGGGGACCAUCCUCCAAGGCUAAAUACUCCUGACUGACCGAUAGUGAACCAGUACCGUGAGGGAAAGGCGAAAAGAACCCCGGCGAGGGGAGUGAAAAAGAACCUGAAACCGUGUACGUACAAGCAGUGGGAGCCUCUUUAAUGGGGUGACUGCGUACCUUUUGUAUAAUGGGUCAGCGACUUAUAUUCUGUAGCAAGGUUAACCGAAUAGGGGAGCCGAAGGGAAACCGAGUCUUAACUGGGCGUUAAGUUGCAGGGUAUAGACCCGAAACCCGGUGAUCUAGCCAUGGGCAGGUUGAAGGUUGGGUAACACUAACUGGAGGACCGAACCGACUAAUGUUGAAAAAUUAGCGGAUGACUUGUGGCUGGGGGUGAAAGGCCAAUCAAACCGGGAGAUAGCUGGUUCUCCCCGAAAGCUAUUUAGGUAGCGCCUCGUGAAUUCAUCUCCGGGGGUAGAGCACUGUUUCGGCAAGGGGGUCAUCCCGACUUACCAACCCGAUGCAAACUGCGAAUACCGGAGAAUGUUAUCACGGGAGACACACGGCGGGUGCUAACGUCCGUCGUGAAGAGGGAAACAACCCAGACCGCCAGCUAAGGUCCCAAAGUCAUGGUUAAGUGGGAAACGAUGUGGGAAGGCCCAGACAGCCAGGAUGUUGGCUUAGAAGCAGCCAUCAUUUAAAGAAAGCGUAAUAGCUCACUGGUCGAGUCGGCCUGCGCGGAAGAUGUAACGGGGCUAAACCAUGCACCGAAGCUGCGGCAGCGACACUAUGUGUUGUUGGGUAGGGGAGCGUUCUGUAAGCCUGUGAAGGUGUGCUGUGAGGCAUGCUGGAGGUAUCAGAAGUGCGAAUGCUGACAUAAGUAACGAUAAAGCGGGUGAAAAGCCCGCUCGCCGGAAGACCAAGGGUUCCUGUCCAACGUUAAUCGGGGCAGGGUGAGUCGACCCCUAAGGCGAGGCCGAAAGGCGUAGUCGAUGGGAAACAGGUUAAUAUUCCUGUACUUGGUGUUACUGCGAAGGGGGGACGGAGAAGGCUAUGUUGGCCGGGCGACGGUUGUCCCGGUUUAAGCGUGUAGGCUGGUUUUCCAGGCAAAUCCGGAAAAUCAAGGCUGAGGCGUGAUGACGAGGCACUACGGUGCUGAAGCAACAAAUGCCCUGCUUCCAGGAAAAGCCUCUAAGCAUCAGGUAACAUCAAAUCGUACCCCAAACCGACACAGGUGGUCAGGUAGAGAAUACCAAGGCGCUUGAGAGAACUCGGGUGAAGGAACUAGGCAAAAUGGUGCCGUAACUUCGGGAGAAGGCACGCUGAUAUGUAGGUGAAGCGACUUGCUCGUGGAGCUGAAAUCAGUCGAAGAUACCAGCUGGCUGCAACUGUUUAUUAAAAACACAGCACUGUGCAAACACGAAAGUGGACGUAUACGGUGUGACGCCUGCCCGGUGCCGGAAGGUUAAUUGAUGGGGUUAGCGCAAGCGAAGCUCUUGAUCGAAGCCCCGGUAAACGGCGGCCGUAACUAUAACGGUCCUAAGGUAGCGAAAUUCCUUGUCGGGUAAGUUCCGACCUGCACGAAUGGCGUAAUGAUGGCCAGGCUGUCUCCACCCGAGACUCAGUGAAAUUGAACUCGCUGUGAAGAUGCAGUGUACCCGCGGCAAGACGGAAAGACCCCGUGAACCUUUACUAUAGCUUGACACUGAACAUUGAGCCUUGAUGUGUAGGAUAGGUGGGAGGCUUUGAAGUGUGGACGCCAGUCUGCAUGGAGCCGACCUUGAAAUACCACCCUUUAAUGUUUGAUGUUCUAACGUGGACCCGUGAUCCGGGUUGCGGACAGUGUCUGGUGGGUAGUUUGACUGGGGCGGUCUCCUCCUAAAGAGUAACGGAGGAGCACGAAGGUUGGCUAAUCCUGGUCGGACAUCAGGAGGUUAGUGCAAUGGCAUAAGCCAGCUUGACUGCGAGCGUGACGGCGCGAGCAGGUGCGAAAGCAGGUCAUAGUGAUCCGGUGGUUCUGAAUGGAAGGGCCAUCGCUCAACGGAUAAAAGGUACUCCGGGGAUAACAGGCUGAUACCGCCCAAGAGUUCAUAUCGACGGCGGUGUUUGGCACCUCGAUGUCGGCUCAUCACAUCCUGGGGCUGAAGUAGGUCCCAAGGGUAUGGCUGUUCGCCAUUUAAAGUGGUACGCGAGCUGGGUUUAGAACGUCGUGAGACAGUUCGGUCCCUAUCUGCCGUGGGCGCUGGAGAACUGAGGGGGGCUGCUCCUAGUACGAGAGGACCGGAGUGGACGCAUCACUGGUGUUCGGGUUGUCAUGCCAAUGGCACUGCCCGGUAGCUAAAUGCGGAAGAGAUAAGUGCUGAAAGCAUCUAAGCACGAAACUUGCCCCGAGAUGAGUUCUCCCUGAGACUUUAAGUCUCCUGAAGGAACGUUGAAGACGACGACGUUGAUAGGCCGGGUGUGUAAGCGCAGCGAUGCGUUGAGCUAACCGGUACUAAUGAACCGUGAGGCUUAACCUUACAACGCCGAAG